rnacentral:rRNA from 1 species
GAUGAACGCUGGCGGCGUGCCUAAUACAUGCAAGUCGAGCGAAUGGAUUAAGAGCUUGCUCUUAUGAAGUUAGCGGCGGACGGGUGAGUAACACGUGGGUAACCUGCCCAUAAGACUGGGAUAACUCCGGGAAACCGGGGCUAAUACCGGAUAACAUUUUGAACCGCAUGGUUCGAAAUUGAAUGGCGGCUUCGGCUGUCACUUAUGGAUGGACCCGUGUCGCAUUAGCUAGUUGGUGAGGUAACGGCUCACCAAGGCAACGAUGCGCAGCCGACCUGAGAGGGUGAUCGGCCACACUGGGACUGAGACACGGCCCAGACUCCUACGGGAGGCAGCAGUAGGGAAUCUUCCGCAAUGGACGAAAGUCUGACGGAGCAACGCCGCGUGAGUGAUGAAGGCUUUCGGGUCGUAAAACUCUGUUGUUAGGGAAGAACAAGUGCUAGUUGAAUAAGCUGGCACCUUGACGGUACCUAACCAGAAAGCCACGGCUAACUACGUGCCAGCCGCCGCCGUAA